UACGUAGGGUGCGAGCGUUAAUCGGAAUUACUGGGCGUAAAGCGUGCGUAGGCGGUUGCAUAAGCGUGAUGUGAAAGCCCCGGGCUUAACCUGGGAAUGGCAUUGAGGACUGUGUGGCUUGAGUGCGGCAGAGGGAGGUGGAAUUCCACGUGUAGCAGUGAAAUGCGUAGAGAUGUGGAGGAACACCGAUGGCGAAGGCAGCCUCCUGGGCCGACACUGACGCUGAGGGCACGAAAGCGUGGGGAGCAAACAGG
rnacentral:rRNA from 1 species